rnacentral:lncRNA from 1 species
ACACCACCGCCGCCUGUAUCUAGUAUUUCAGAAGAGUCCGACCGAGAUGGGUAUGUAUCUUAGAACUGCGUUUCUAAACCAGCCAUGCAGGACAUUGUAAGUUGUGACUGACUUAUUUAUCUUUUGAAUCAGGGACAAAGAAUUCGCUAUGCAAAGGUGUUCAACCGUUGGGCAAAGAAACCGAAGCGGUGGGUGUGCUAGAAUCUAGGUGAGUUCGUCUUACAACUGCGACCGUAAUGCAUUGUUUUGUUGAUGAAUAUAUUUAUUUAGAUUCGUUUUAUAUUCACAGCAUGCACUCCUUGAGCAUUGCUGAAGAGGAGCAGCAUGACUCUCUGGAUGAGGAGGAGGCGAAUUAUAUGAGGAAUAGCAUGUAAGUCUUGCACAUGAAACCAUCUUAGUUUGUGUUCUUUUGUACUUCAAGUUUAUGGUGUUUGUGUGUAUUUUGUAAAUUAUUUUUAUUUACAGUAUUGACAUGGAUGAUUGCUGGGAGGAUCCUAAUCAGAAGGGCUUGGAAGAAGAUCGGGACAGCUCUGAUGAAGACUAGUCCUUUUCUUCAUCUACGGUAUGUUUCAGUUUCUAGUUGCAUUUCAGGUUGAACUACUGCUAUGUUGAAGGGUGGUUAUUAUAAUCACAAAUAUUUUGGUCUUUCAGGAGAAGACAACGUUUUAGGAGAACAUGAUGCAUUUGUUCCUUUUUGAUCUUCAAAUUGAUUCUAUGUACAUAUCUUGCUGCUUUGCAGUGCCCCAGCUAUGACUGCCAACAUCAACCAACUCCUGGAGAUAAGCAUGGAUGAAGCCGUGCGUGAUGUGGCAACACCCAAUCCUCCAGGUGAGGACAUACAAGAAACUCCAGAACAACAAAACGUUUCAGGACAACUUCAGAUUUGGAGAAUUUCCAAAACCACAUACUCAUGUAUGCAGGAAGGCGGUUUGCCUACAGCCCCCCUGUUUACAAAACCCAGACAUUGCUUGCAGCAAUCGAUUACAACUAUCACAACCACCGCAUUCCUGCACGUGGCAAGGAUGGACACCGAAUGUAAGCUUUGCUAUAACAGUAGUGUACUACCAAAAAUAAUUAAUUAGUUCUUACCUAAACAGUUGUGGAAUUGUGCAAUUACUUUACUAGGUACAGACGGUACUUCAACAAGAAGUCCAAGCGCUGGAGUGUAUAUGUGUUGAAGGAGAGCAAAGGCUACCAUUACAUUCCAGACCUGCAGAAGGCCAUCCUUGCUGAGAGGCUGGGAAGUGGAAUGGGCCUUCCCAGAAUACAGGGUCUAAGGCCUGCUUGCCGCAUCCACAUCUGAACUUGUCGCGGCUCAGGUUUCACGGGGAGAGGGUGGUGCCCAAAGUGAAUUCUAAACUAUUCCAUUCUUUCAUAGCUGUGUAUGUAAAUAAUUUGA